rnacentral:rRNA from 1 species
GAUGAACGCUGGCUACAGGCUUAACACAUGCAAGUCGAGGGGAAACGACGGGGAAGCUUGCUUCCCCGGGCGUCGACCGGCGCACGGGUGAGUAACGCGUAUCCAACCUGCCUCUGACUGAGGGAUAACCCGUCGAAAGUCGGCCUAAUACCUCAUGGUAUCGUCUGCGGGCAUCCAACGACGAUUAAAGAUUUCAUCGGUCAGGGAUGGGGAUGCGUCUGAUUAGCUUGUUGGCGGGGUAACGGCCCACCAAGGCUACGAUCAGUAGGGGUUCUGAGAGGGAGGUCCCCCACAUUGGAACUGAGACACGGUCCAAACUCCUACGGGAGGCAGCAGUGAGGAAUAUUGGUCAAUGGGCGAGAGCCUGAACCAGCCAAGUAGCGUGCAGGAAGACGGCCCUAUGGGUUGUAAACUGCUUUUAUGCGGGGAUAAAGUGAGGGACGUGUCCCUCAUUGCAGGUACCGCAUGAAUAAGGACCGGCUAAUUCCGU